AAUUUACCAAAAAUUUACAUGAUUUAUUUUGAAUAGAUAGAAAAAUAGAUAGAAAAAUCAUCACAAUCAUUGCCUAUAAUUUAAAUCUAAAUUCCAUUUUUAAAUCAAGAAAAAACAUUAAUGAAGCAGUCACAUGACAAAAGUAUAACUCUGAGUUGACAGACAAAAAAAAACAAUCAGAAGCUGUGUUACAUCAAAAAUUAAAUUAUUAGCAAAUAUGUUGACUAAGAAAUGACAAUAACACGUUGACAUCAUAUGAUUAUGACAUGAUUUGUGAUCUGCUUACCUUUCUUGAGCACCUGAGAUCACCCAAAUGUCUUGGUGGGGUUAUUGUUGCAUAAACUUUAGUUUUCUAUGUUAUGUCUUUUGUACUAUUAUUUGUCAGUUUGUCACUUUUGUCUCAUGGCAUAUCUCAUUUCCAUGGAGACUAUUUGGCCCUGCCCCUCUCAGUCAUGGUCUAUUGACUUCAAAACUUUUGCUGAUUUACUUGUAUUAGUUUGUGAUUAGGUCAGUUUAUGGGGAACCACAAGUGGUUGGUCAAUGAUAUUUGGUAUGCAGUUGCAUAAGCAUUGGCAUAACUCAUUUCCAUGGAGAUAAAUUGGCCCUGCCUCCUCAGUCAUGGUCUAUUGACUUUGAAAAUUUGUGUAGGUUAUCAUGUAUUAAUUUGUGAUUAGGUCUGUUCAAGGGGAACCACUAGUGGUAGGCCAAUGUUAAUUGGUAUUCAGUUGUAUAAGCAUUGGCACAUCUAAUCUAGCCCCUCCUUCACAGUCUAAUGACUUUGAAACUUAUCUUAGCUUACAUGUUUUAGUUUGUGAUUUUAUCAGAUUAAGAUGAACUGCUUAUGUUAAAUCAAUGAUAUUUGGUAUGCAAAUUUAUUUACCUUUGCAAGUUUUGUUUCCAUGGAGAUUAUAUAGCCCCACCCCUCUUCAUGCUUUAUUGACUUUGAAACUUUAACAAAUUUUACAAGUUAUUUUUUGUAUUUAGGUUUGGGAACGACUUGUGAGAAGUCAAUGGUAUGCAUGAAGUUGUAUUAACAUUGGCACAUCUCAUUUACAUGGAGAUUUUAUUAGCCAUGUAACUCCAUCAUGGUUCAUUGACUUUGAAUAUUUGCAUAACUUGUGUAAGAUGUUAAAGUAUUGGUAUUUGAUUUCAACAUUUAAAAAACCAAAAUUACAAAAAGGGGAGACAUUUCUCUGUGAUAAUAGUUUAUCUUUUGUAGCCAUAGCGUUGUCAGUUUAUUUUUGAUCUAUGAGUUUUACUGUCCCUUUGGUAUAUUUCGUCCCUCCUUUUGUACCAGACUGAAUUGCUGAAUCUCUUUUUAUCUUCAAAACUCACAAGAUAAUACGUGUACUCCAUAUGAAGACAUGACAUCCUUUUCAUACAAUUUUCUUUUUCUGUUUCACUAGUGUUUGAUUUUCCUCUUGACUUCAGCAGAGAAGCAAUAGAUACUGAUUUUAAUAUAUUAUAUGAAGUUUUUAAAUUCACUUCAUCAUACUUAAAACCAUCAAUUAAGGAUAAUUUUUAUUAAACAUUCUCCUUAUCCCGAUACCCUGGGCUUAAAAACGUGAAAUCCUGAGGUCCUGAAUCUGGACAUCCUGAAAUUCCAAAAAAGAAAUCCUGGAUCCCGAAAGGAUCAAUCCCCAAAUUCCCAGCUUAUAAACACCCAAAACCUAAAAAAAGGUCCUGCCCCCUCUUUAUUGACUGAAUUUUCCAGUUUCAUCAAUUCCUCCUACAUGUUCCUUGUUAUUGUAUGUUAUUUCCUUCACAAGUAAGCCUGCCUUAGUUGGUUAGUUGGGUGAUAUCUUUGUUGAUCAAGCUUAACAUAUUAACUUAUUAAGUUUAUUUUACUGUGUUUCAAAUGUAUUUUUGAAGUUUUUGUAUAUUUCAAAAUUCCAUAACUUUUAUCAUUCCAUAUACUGUAGAUACAUUUGUAUUUGUGUUAUACCAGUAUUCAUUGAUUUUGUGAGUAUAGGUAGACCAAUAAUUGGUAUAUUCAAUGAAGUAAAGAUGAUGCAAUUUUCCCUGAAUUCAUAAUAAUUUGUUAUCCAACAUAAGACAAAUAAAGUUGUUUUCUGCAUGACAUCAAGUUUUAAUUCUACGACAUGUAUACACUUUGCCUUAAUUUUUCAAUUAUCAAUCAAUUAUAAAAUUAGCAAACUAAUGAUUAUACAAAUGUAGAAAACUACUCUAUAAUCAGGUACAACAACUAGCUAACAUUGGAAAAAUAUUUGAUUGUAUGAAUAUUUAUUAAACUGAAAUACAUGUAGGGUUUGUACUUAUAUUGACACUCAGUAUAUAUUGUAAAUCAAAAUUUGGUGAGAGAUUCAAUGUCAAUGAUAUGUAUAACAACUCUAGCAUUAGACAUGUUAGAUAAUACUACAAUUUUUUUUAAUUGCAUGACAAAUCAUACUUUCUAAAUUAUUAGAUUAUUGCCAGAUUAUAAUUGUAUAUAUAUAGGAUCACUGAAUAAUAUAUAUGUAUUGUGUAUUGCUCAUAUGAAUACCUUGUAAAAUGCAACUAACACAAGAUAUAAAUAUAAGAUAUAUUUGGUAAUCAAAUCCCCUGGUUUCAUUAGCAAUUAACAACACAGGGAGGAACCUUAGCGUCAUUGUUGUAGCGCUAAGGGACAUUGUUCACAACCAGUAGUGAAAUAAUGAAAUAUUUAAAGUUGAAAUAAAAAGAAAGAUUAUUGCCAGUGGAAACAUGCCUUCAUUCUAAGUUAAUUACUCAAUAGAUUGUAAAGCACUUUUUGCUUCAUUGCUUUAUAUAACAUAGUGAAAUAAGUGAGAAAUGUGAACUAAAUGAGAAAUGCGAACUAAGUGAGAAAUGUUAACUAAGUGAGAAAUGUGAACUAAGUGAGAAAUGUGAACUAAGGGAGAAAUGUGAACUAAGGUGAGAAAUGUUAACUAAGUGUGAAAUUUAAACAAAGUGAAAAAUGUUAACUAAGUGAAAAAUGUAAACUAAGGUGAGAAAUGUGAACUAAGGGAGAAAUGUGAACUAAGGGAGAAAGGUGAACUAAGGGAGAAAUGGGAACUAAGGUGAGAAAUGGGAACUAAGUGAGAAAUGUGAACUAAGGGAGAAAUUUGAACUAAGGGAGAAAUGUGAACUAAGGGAGAAAUGUGAACUAAGGUGAGAAAUGUGAACUAAGGGAGAAAUUUGAACUAAGUGAGAAAUGUGAACUAAGUGAAAAAUGUGAACUAAGUGAGAAAUGUGAACUAAGGGAGAAAUGUAAACUAAGUGAGAAAUGUGAACUAAGUGAAAAAUGUGAACUAAGUGAGAAAUGUGAACUAAAUUAAUGCUGUGUGUUGAACAGAAUGAAUGUCCAUUUGUUUAGCCUUUUAAGCCACAGAGCUCCCACAACAAACUUGACAGCAUAUUUAGAUGGUUAUAUUGUUGUUAAUUCCUCAGAUCAGUUUUAAUAAAAAUGCUGGUUUUUAGUUUGAUAAUGAUUGCCAAUGAAAUAACUCUCCAUAACAGACCAAAUGACACAGAAAUUAAGUAAAAAAAAACUAUGUUGUUGAUUGGCCAAUAAGAAAAGGACCAAAUAUAAUAUUAAAAUAAAGAAUAAAAAAUAAAAUGAGGAUAGAAAAUAAUCCAUUGUUGCGAUUUGAAUAUGAGGGAUUCCUCAGAUUUUAUUUAAGUUGUAGAAAUGAAUAAUCUCUAGGAUUGAUUGAUUGUUGGAGUUUUAAUGCCACUUUUAAGCACCACUUUUGGGCUAUUUCCAGGCGGUCAGUUUUUAUUGGUGGAGGAAGCUUGAGUGCCUGAAGAAACCUACAUACCUUCGAUAGGAAACAAAAAAGUCUCUAUAUUAAAAGUUUGAUUUUUGAAGUGAAGUUCAUGAUAUAUAUUUCUGUUACACCUUCAAGAAAGUUCAAGAUUAUUUUCGGAGAGUAUAAAUUUUUAUCUCAAUAUUUGAUGAUAAUAUAUCUUGUCAUUCUGGUGCUACUUUUGGGGUUAAUAUGAAGUUAUUUUUAAAGCUUUAAUUUUUUUAAUGUAACAAGAGGUC
rnacentral:lncRNA from 1 species